rnacentral:lncRNA from 1 species
UCCUGCUUUGACUGCACAAGCGUCUGUGUUUUUAAGAAUUUAUUCCCUUCAGCUGCGCUGGUAGCUUCGCUAUUGUAAUUUUCACAUUACCUUUUUCCUGGCGAGAAAUCUGCAGGGAUUGCAUCAAAACACCUCAAAUUUUACAUUUCAGGUCUUCAUCAAAUGUGCCCCCAGAAGAGGACGUCUCCAUUCUGCCAUCUCCACUGUCAUCCAACAGCCCUUCCAGUCCGAGACUGGUGGCCAGCUGUAUAUCAAGCCCGGCUGCUACGCUUUUUCAAGAAAUGUAAGCUG